rnacentral:rRNA from 1 species
UACAGAGGGUGCAAGCGUUAAUCGGAAUUACUGGGCGUAAAGCGAGCGUAGUCGGUUAUUUAAGUCGGGUGUGAAAGCCCCGGGCUCAACCUGGGAAUUGCAUUCGAUACUGGAUAGCUAGAGUUCGGCAGAGGGAAGCGGAAUUUCCGGUGUAGCGGUGAAAUGCGUAGAUAUCGGAAGGAACACCAGUGGCGAAGGCGACCACCUGGACUGAUACUGACACUGAGGUGCGAAAGCGUGGGGAGCAAACAGG